rnacentral:rRNA from 1 species
UACGAAGGGGGCUAGCGUUGUUCGGAAUUACUGGGCGUAAAGCGCGCGCAGGCGGCUAUCCAAGUCAGUGGUGAAAGCCCGGAGCUCAACUCCGGAACUGCCAUUGAAACUGUUUAGCUUGAGGAUGAGAGAGGUGAGUGGAACUGCGAGUGUAGAGGUGAAAUUCGUAGAUAUUCGCAAGAACACCAGUGGCGAAGGCGGCUCACUGGCCCGAUACUGACGCUGAUGCACGAAAGCGUGGGGAGCAAACAGG